GCAUUCGUGGCCGAGUGGUUAAAGGCUCCGGACUCAUAAUCCGGCUUUCUAUAGAAUAACGCUGGUUCGAAUCCAGUCGAAUGCA
rnacentral:tRNA from 1 species